GACGAACGCUGGCGGCGUGCUUAACACAUGCAAGUCGAACGCUGAAGACCUGGCUUUUGUUGGGUUGGAUGAGUGGCGAACGGGUGAGUAACACGUGAGUAACCUGCCCUCUUCUUUGGGAUAACGCCCGGAAACGGGUGCUAAUACUGGAUAUUCACUGGCCUUCGCAUGGGGGUUGGUGGAAAGGUUUGUUCUGGUGGGGGAUGGGCUCGCGGCCUAUCAGCUUGUUGGUGGGGUGAUGGCCUACCAAGGCUUUGACGGGUAGCCGGCCUGAGAGGGUGACCGGUCACAUUGGGACUGAGAUACGGCCCAGACUCCUACGGGAGGCAGCAGUGGGGAAUAUUGCACAAUGGGCGAAAGCCUGAUGCAGCGACGCCGCGUGAGGGAUGGGGGCCUUCGGGUUGUAAACCUCUUUCGCUCAUGGUCAAGCCGCAACUGUGGGUUGUGGUGAGGGUAGUGGGUAAAGAAGCGCCGGCUAACUACGUG
rnacentral:rRNA from 1 species